CCAGCCGCCGCGGUAAUACGUAGGGUGCAAGCGUUAUCCGGAAUUAUUGGGCGUAAAGGGCUCGUAGGCGGUUCGUCGCGUCCGGUGUGAAAGUCCAUCGCUUAACGGUGGAUCCGCGCCGGGUACGGGCGGGCUUGAGUGCGGUAGGGGAGACUGGAAUUCCCGGUGUAACGGUGGAAUGUGUAGAUAUCGGGAAGAACACCAAUGGCGAAGGCAGGUCUCUGGGCCGUUACUGACGCUGAGGAGCGAAAGCGUGGGGAGCGAACAGGAUUAGAUACCCUGGUAGUCCACGCCGUAAACGGUGGAUGCUGGAUGUGGGGCCCGUUCCACGGGUUCCGUGUCGGAGCUAACGCGUUAAGCAUCCCGCCUGGGGAGUACGGCCGCAAGGCUAAAACUCAAAGAAAUUGACGGGGGCCCGCACAAGCGGCGGAGCAUGCGGAUUAAUUCGAUGCAACGCGAAGAACCUUACCUGGGCUUGACAUGUUCCCGACGAUCCCAGAGAUGGGGUUUCCCUUCGGGGCGGGUUCACAGGUGGUGCAUGGUCGUCGUCAGCUCGUGUCGUGAGAUGUUGGGUUAAGUCCCGCAACGAGCGCAACCCUCGCCCCGUGUUGCCAGCGGAUUAUGCCGGGAACUCACGGGGGACCGCCGGGGUUAACUCGGAGGAAGGUGGGGAUGACGUCAGAUCAUCAUGCCCCUUUCGUCCAGGGCUUCACGCAUGCUACAAUGGCCGGUACAACGGGAUGCGACAGUGCGAGCUGGAGCGGAUCCCUGAAAACCGGUCUCAGUUCGGAUCGCAGUCUGCAACUCGACUGCGUGAAGGCGGAGUCGCUAGUAAUCGCGAAUCAGCAACGUCGCGGUGAAUGCGUUCCCGGGCCUUGUACACACCGCCCGUCAAGUCAUGAAAGUGGGCAGCACCCGAAGCCGGUGGCCUAACCCCUUGCGGGAGGGAGCCGUCUAAGGUGAGGCUCGUGAUUGGGACUAAGUCGUAACAAGGUAACCAAUCGA
rnacentral:rRNA from 1 species